AGUCUCUGGAGAGUGCCGGGGUUGUGGCGGGACACGGGAGCGAGGGACCUGCCAAGGCCCCAUGGGAGGGGCGCGCAGGCAGCUGCAGAACAAGGCAGCGGGGUGCCCGGGUGGCCGAGAGCAGCCAGGAGCAGCGCGGCUGCGGCCGGGUCGUGUGGGCAGCAGGACUGGGGAGGCGACUCGUACCGAGCAGGGCUGAGGCUGCAGCUCGGGGUGGGCCCCUCGCCGCAGGGCGCGCCUGGAGGUGCUGCAGCACGUCCAGAGAAGGGCAGCAAAGCCUGGGCAAGGGUCUAGAGCACAGGUCUUGGGAGGAGCAUCUGAGGGAGCUGGACUUGUGUCAUCCGGAGAAGGAGGCUGAGGGGAGACCUUGCUUUCUGCAGCUGCCUUGAAGGAGGCUGUAGCCUCCCAAGUUCCACCAGGGAAGGUUCAGAUUGGAUGUUGUGGAGCAGAUCAUCCUAAGUGCCAUCGGGCAGUACAUGUAGGACAACAAGGCCAUCAGGCCCAGUCAGCAUGGGUUUAUAAAAGGCUGGCCCUGCUUGACUAACCUGAUGUCCUUGUGUGACAAGGUGACCCCCUUAGUGGAUGAGGGGAAGGCUGUGGAUGUUACCUGCCUAGACUUCAGUAAAGCCUUUGAUGCUGUUUCCCACAGCAUUCUCCUAGAGAAACUGGCUUGGAAGGGUAUAAGCCUCACUGGAUAAAAAGCUGGCUGGAUGGCCAGGCCUAAAGAGUUGUGAGAAACGUAAUUAAAGCCAGUUGGCAGCUGUUCACAAGGGGUGUUCCCCAGGGCUCAGUUUGGGGCCAGUUCUCUUUAAUACCUUUUUCAGUUAUGUGGGAGAGAGGGUCGAGAGCACCCUAAGUAAGUUUGCAGCUGACACCAAGUUGGGUGGGAGUGUUGGUGCACUUGAGGGUAGAAAAGCUCUACAGAGGGACCUGGACAGGCUGGAUCUAUGGGCCAGGGUAUGUAUGAGGUUCAACAAGGCCAAGUGCUGGGUCCUGCAGUUAGAUCACAACAAUGCCAUGCAACACUAGAGACUUGGGAGAGAGGCUGGAAGGAUGACUGAUACUCACAUCACAGGUGUAUGGUAGAACUAGAGCUGGGGGUGUUGCUCAGCAGCUGAAUAUGAACCAGCAGUGUGCCCAGCUCAUCCUUGUGGAGAAGGAAAGGAUUUCUGCCUGCAGGACUUCAAAGACAAAUGGGCAUCGCAGCCAUCUCCUUUUCCAGUGUCAUGCUUUGAUGCCCGACUGCCUCCAUCUUCUCCACCUCCUCUCUGGCAUGUGCUCUGCCAGGACGCCUCUGUCUCCUGUAAGCUCACAAUCAGCACAGCUGCUUUGUUGUGCUCUUUCCUUUUGCUGGAAAAAGGGGACGGCAGGGAACCCCCAGCCACUGCUGGAAUGAAGGAUCUGCAAAGCAGCCUUGGCACAGGUCCUGAGAAGUAGAAGCAAGAUGAAAGGGGGACAAUGGGGUUAGACUGAGCAUUCAGAUCUGAUGUCUUUUGCUAUCAUGUGCUUAGAAUCAUGAGGCUGCUGUGGUAUUAAGUCCAAAAGGGCCAAGAAUUACCACAAAAAAGGGUCAGUGUGGGAAAAGAUACAAGGAAUAUAGAAUGUCUUCCAAACAGACACAUUUCUCAACAUGUACCUGAGGCUGAAAUGUGAACUGUGUAGGGAUACACAGUAUGCUUACCAUUAGAAAGAUAUUUAAAAUACACAUACAGUUUGCUGAAAAAUCUGUUUCUACAGUUCACUACGUAGUGACAGCUAAGAAGUAGAUAGCCUGAGUUUUUGAUCCUGAAAAUUGUUUUUCCAGUGUAUCCAAACAAUAAAAAGAAAUUAAAAAUUUAGGCUCUUUUCAAACUCAGAUUUCAUUAUAAUAUAUGUGAACUAGGGUUAUUUAUUUUGAACAUAAACACAGGUCUAUGAAUACAGUAACUUCAUUUUGGCAAACAAAGUGUAUGUUGAUGAAACAGGCAGGCUGGCUCCAAGUCUUUUCAGAACCAAGGUACAUUUAAGCUACGAUAUUGUCCUUCAGCUGCAUGUUCCCCUUGGAGGCCCUGUAUCUGAAAUUACUGUUCCUGUGCUUCAGAAUACUUCAUUUAGAAGUCAUUUACAAUUUCAGCAGGGACUGAAGUUUAAAAAUAAAUAUACUUCUUCUGUACCGUUGUGUGCCAACUAAAACUGAAGUGUUUUGCAGUUACUGAACCUGUAAAAUACAACUAAUUUGAAGUUGGAUCCUCCAAAUGGUCCUAAGUAAUUAUAGCUUCUUUUGAAGCCAUACAAGUCUUAACUGUUGCUUAAGCAAUACCAUGACUAUGUUCAGUAUGGGUACUGCCUUUAUGAAACACAAAUGAGGCAUAAUUAGCAUACGAUGGUUCUUGAUAUAUUACAUGCCACUUGGAGAGACACAAAAUAUUCAUUCUGAUGUGCAAAUGUGUUUGUGCCUUUACCAGCUAUUAGUUUUCAUUUAAAAAUACAAUAAAAUACUACAAUGGAUUUAUCUGUUGCUGAUGAAAAAUAAAAGAUCUGAUGGCAAUAUAAACUUCCAUUAUAAAUUGUUUUCAGUGUGCACUGAAAACAUCAGCUAUUUCUAAUAGAAAGUAUAUUAAUUUUCCAUAAACCUCACUUCAUGAUAAACUAUAAAAAAGUUUGUAGCAGCAGUAAUUAAUGUCAGUCUGGAAUAUCAAAUUUUAAAACAAUUCUGGAAAAAAGAAUUCAUCGUAACUUCUUGAAGAUAGUGUUUUGUGUGGAUUGGGAUGUAUCCUAGGUCAUGGAUAUUCUGAAGUACUGUUUCUUGAAUAUUUAAUGGAAAAGUAUCAGUGUUCUCAAUUCUAUUUUACAGGCUUUAGUGAAUGAGUUUUUCUUGUAAGUAUUGAUAGAAUGAGUGUAUACUUCGAAUUGAAGGUAAACAGAACCUAGUAACCAAUGAGCAAUAAAAUACAAGCAAAUAAACUGAAAGCUAUGGUACCUCAUAAAGAUACUACUUUCUCUUUUUACGACCUGCAAUAGAUAAAGAGAUACCGUUUUAAAAUUGCAUUGGUAAUGAUUUAGAACAAGCACUUUAUGGAGAACAUUCUUCAUCAUCUGCUGAUUAGAAGAGUGGCAGUGGACUAUCACAGAAUAAACUGAAGAGUAUACCUACAUGAUUAUGAAUUUGAUGAUGUACAGUAUCAAUUUGCUUGACUUAGAAGAGUGCUAUUAGUUUAGGGUAACUGGCUAAAAAAUCAUAGUAUUAAAGCCCACAUUAAUUUUUUCCAAUUUAGCAAUGCAGUGUAUUUUCAGACCUGAAUCAAUAGCGAUGUUUGCACAGUAAUGAUUUUGCCAUAUAUCAGCACAAGUGGAAAUGCCAAUACUUUGUCAUAAAGGGGUGAACCACUGUCUUCUGCAGUGCUUUGAACUGAGACCUUUGUGGGGAGAGCAGCUUGACCAGAUGACUAGUACCUCCCUCUCAUAACCCAUGAUGUUUUACAAUGGUAAGGGUUAGUCUGCUGUUCUGUCUUGCACUUGAGUGUACAUGGAGGAAUUUUGUAUCACAUUUAGAGGAAGUCCACCCACAUGCAGUAAGGUAUUACUGCAUAGUACCAGACUGUUUUAGACUACAGAGAGAAUAGUUUAGAUGUUUGGGUUUAGAUAGUUAAGUUUGCAGUACUACGACAGCCUUUGAGAAUAUUAGGGUUUUUAAAAUAUUAUUAGGGUAUUGAAAUUCACUGCACUAGAACACAGGUGGAAAGAGUUUGGGCAAGUUGGACAACACCAAACAGCAGCCUUGGAAAACCUCUAAGUAUCAGACUUAGUAUCAGCCUUCUGCUGGCUAUCUGUACCUGUUAGAAAUAUAAGAUGGUUAUGCUUUAGUGUCUGCACCUCAGUUCCCUUAGCUUUGAAACAGCAGUGAUAUUUCUGACUUAAAUAUUGUGGAGAUACAUUAAUAAAUAUGAGCAAAACUC